AUGGUUGUGCGUGGCAUCUUUCCAUCGGUGGUGAUAGCGUGUAUGGUGGAGAAGACUAAUGUUGAUAAAUCUGAAUCUCAUAUUGCUUGUAUUGAGCAAUUUAAUUUGUUUAAGACCUUGAUAAAAAAAAAAAUUCCUAAAAUGAAUUUGCUAGAGAUUAGCUACAGCUUAGCUACGAAAUUUUAUGGAGUACAGCUCUGUUACCAGGAGGGACCAAGAGUAUGGAUCAAAAAUUUAGAGGAACUAAAAACGAAAUAUGUUAUAUUUAGAGGGACCAAAAACUUAUUUAACCCUAA